GGCUCGGUAGCGCUCGGAGCGCAUCUGCACAUCGUUGUUGUGUUCGCCACGGUGGGAUAAAUUGAAGCAGACCCGCCUGUUCGACUCAGGCCCGAGCCG